UCCGAACCCGGAAGCUAAGGCUGACAGCGCCGAUGGUACUGCGAGGGGGACCUCGUGGGAGAGUAGGACACCGCCGAAC
rfam:Leucobacter sp. G161 contig72, whole genome shotgun sequence.